GUAAAUGGCCGCGGUAUUUCGACCGUGCUAAGGUAGCAUAAUAAAUUUCUUUUUAAUUGGGAGAUAGAAUGAAAGAGUGAACAAAGAGGUUUUGUACCAUUUUUAUGAAAAUAAUUUUAUGUGAAGGUAAAAAAGCUUUCAGGUUUUAGAAAGACGAUAAGACCCUAUAAAACUUUACUAGUGUAAGUUGUUAGGAUAUUUAAAGUUUUAAAACUUAUUAUUAGUUUAGCUGGGGCGGCUUGUUUUUGGGACAGAAUAUUUUACCACAUAUUUAAUGGGUUUAAAGAGCGUAUUUAUGCAAUUAAGACUAAGUUACUUUAGGGAUAACAGAAUAAUAUUUUUGGAGAGUUCUUAUCGAUAAAAGUGUUUGUCCCUCGAUGUUGAA
rnacentral:rRNA from 1 species